AGCUUUGCACAGAGGCAGUAUUGUAGCCUAUGAAUUUAUCUGAGGUAUGAUUAUUGCUAAUUGAAAACUCUUGGAAAAGUUUUCAAUUAGC
ensembl:snRNA U4 U4 spliceosomal RNA